CUAUUCUAGCUACAGGUUACUUAUAUAAUGCCAUAAUCUGGUUGGCGAGUUUCUACCCAAGACCGUAAAUCUUGGACUAUGAGUAAAAAAACGUUAGGA
rnacentral:ncRNA from 2 species